rnacentral:rRNA from 1 species
AGUCGAGCGAACAGACGAGGAGCUUGCUUCUCUGACGUUAGCGGCGGACGGGUGAGUAACACGUGGAUAACCUACCUAUAAGACUGGGAUAACUUCGGGAAACCGGAGCUAAUACCGGAUAAUAUAUUGAACCGCAUGGUUCAAUAGUGAAAGACGGUUUUGCUGUCACUUAUAGAUGGAUCCGCGCCGCAUUAGCUAGUUGGUAAGGUAACGGCUUACCAAGGCAACGAUGCGUAGCCGACCUGAGAGGGUGAUCGGCCACACUGGAACUGAGACACGGUCCAGACUCCUACGGGAGGCAGCAGUAGGGAAUCUUCCGCAAUGGGCGAAAGCCUGACGGAGCAACGCCGCGUGAGUGAUGAAGGUCUUCGGAUCGUAAAACUCUGUUAUUAGGGAAGAACAAAUGUGUAAGUAACUAUGCACGUCUUGACGGUACCUAAUCAGAAAGCCACGGCUAACUACGUGCCAGCAGCCGCGGUAAUACGUAGCGUGGCGAGCGUAAUCCGGAAUUAUUGGGCGUAAAGCGCGCGUAGGCGGUUUUUUAAGUCUGAUGUGAAAGCCCACGGCUCAACCGUGGAGGGUCAUUGGAAACUGGAAAACUUGAGUGCAGAAGAGGAAAGUGGAAUUCCAUGUGUAGCGGUGAAAUGCGCAGAGAUAUGGAGGAACACCAGUGGCGAAGGCGACUUUCUGGUCUGUAACUGACGCUGAUGUGCGAA